rnacentral:rRNA from 1 species
CUGUCUUUUUAUUGUUAGCGAAUUUAACUUUUAAGUGAAAAGGCUUAAAUUAUUAGUGGGACGAUAAGACCCUAUAAAACUUUAUUUAGGGGGUUGAAAGCGGUUAAUUUAGUUUAAAUCUGUAUUCAUUCUUCUAAAUUUUGUUGGGGAGACAAUAAUAUAAUCUUAACUGUUAUUAGAAUUUAAUAAUUAUAAUUAGUUUUUGAUCCUUUAUUAGGGAUUUAAAGAUUAAGUUACUUUAGGGAUAACAGCGUAAUUUUCUUUGAGAGAUCUUAUCGACAAGAUUAGUUGCGACCUCGAUGUUGAAUUAAAAUUUCAGGGGGGUGUAGCCUUUCUCCUGGUGGGUCUGUUCGACCUUUAAAAUUUUA